rnacentral:misc_RNA from 1 species
GAUGAAGAACGCAGCAAAAUGCGAUAAGUAGUGUGAAUUGCAGAAUUCAGUGAAUCAUCGAAUCUUUGAACGCACAUUGCGCCCCUUGGUAUUCCAUGGGGCAUGCCUGUUCGAGCGUCAUUUGUACCUUCAAGCCUUGCUUGGUGUUGGGUGUUUGUCUCGCCUCUGCGCGCAGACUCGCCUCAAAACAAUUGGCAGCCGGCGUAUUGAUUUCGGAGCGCAGUACAUCUCGCGCUUUGCACUCAGAACGACGACGUCCAAAAGUACAUUUUUACACUCUUGACCUCGGAUCAGGUAGGGAUACCCGCUGAACUUAAGCAUAUCAAUAAGCGGAGGA